UACUCUCAUACUCUCUAAUUAGUUAGAGAGCGGUGGAUUUGGAUGCUGCCUGGUACUUACUGUCAGGCUCAUCUUAAAUGAAUUAGUGCGACUCUUAGUUAAACAUAGUACGGCGUGAUAAGUAACCCUCGCUGUUUUCUGUCUGAUUAGGAGCUCUGUGCUUCAAAUCGUCUCAGGACAAUAUUUGAUA
rnacentral:misc_RNA from 2 species